CCUUCCAUGUCGCAGGUGCUCAAACAGUAAACACCAGCGACCCAGCCACAGAAUUCAGCAGCAGCUCCAUACAGCCUAUUGAUCCAGCAGCAAGUAACAGAAGAUCUAUACUGCCUGAUCCAUCUGAAAAUAUGCCAAAUCUGCUAGAAGAUGAAAGAACCCCACAAGACACAGCUGACUACGAAUGUCAUGGAGAUAGUCCAUUCUGAUUUUGCAGAGGAAAUAAGCCUAAUUCUCACUAGAGAGGGCAAGAAAAAAGAUUCAGUACCAAGACACUGAUUUCAUUCUUCUGUUUCCUCAGUAUGACCAAUAUUUUACCUUCAUCAACAGAUGAGGCAGACCCGACCAGCGAAGAUAAAUAAGUAUCUACGCCGGUGAACUGAAACUUCGCUUCGGAACAACUGUCCUACUGAUUCCUGUGAGCAGAAAUAUCACGUGUAGUAAUAUUACCUUAUCUGGAACUACCUACCAUGAACACUAUCGGCAUGAUGUAAUAUUAAGCAUCUAAAUAACUAUGUAUAAUCAUCUCAAGUAACCUCUUUUGAUUAUUACUGAA